rnacentral:rRNA from 1 species
UCUUAGUUGCCAGCGAGUAAUGUCGGGGACUCUAAGGAGACUGCCGGUGCAAACCGUGAGGAAGGUGGGGAUGACGUCAGGUCAGCACGGCCCUUACGUCCAGGGCUACACACGUGCUACAAUGGCGAUUACAAUGGGCAGCGAAAGGGCGACCUGGAGCGAAUCCCCAAAAAUCGUCUCAGUUCGGAUUGCACUCUGCAACUCGAGUGCAUGAAGGCGGAAUCGCUAGUAAUCGCGGAUCAGC